UUUUUUUUUUUUUUGCCAUUUUGCAUACUUGUCCCAUGUUAGCCUGAUUGAGAUAAUACAGAUAAAAAAGUAACAUCUGCAUGUUGAUUGGUUGUCUGCAUACUCUUAAACACUCGGAUGCAGCUAUUUUUGUAGCCCGCCACUUGUUCAUCGCAUGCUUCCCAUAAACUGUAAACCCUCGGAACACCACAUACCACUUGUCCUAAUAUGGCAGAAGAGCAAACAAUUCAAGCAGAACUUGUUGUGCUGUAUGAUCAUGCAUGCUUACUUAUAUUUCAUGUCUAGUGUGCUCCAUUGGUUGCUGCUUGAAUUGUUUGCUCUUCUGCCAUAUUAGGACAAGUGGUAUAUGGUGUUACGAGGGAGAGUUCCGAGGGUUUACAGUUUAUGGGAAGUAUGCGAUGGACAAGUGACGGGCUACAAAAAUAGCUGCAUCAAAGUGUUUAAGAGUAUGCAGGCAACCAAUCAACAUGCCGAUGUUGGUUUUUUGCCUGUAUUAUCUCAACCAGGCUGACAUGGGACAAGUGUGCAAAGUGGCCAAAAAACGGUGCGGAUAAUGGCGAUGCACAUGCUUGUACAGCCACCUAUUUCAAGAAUGAAAUUUCAGAACCUUUUGGGCAGCAAUUCAGCAAAAUUACGUCGAACCAAAUUCCAUCUCGCAAACACAAGAAAUCACAAGAAAUAUCAGGGAAGAAAAACACUGAACCCACAUCGGGUAAAAACCGGACGAAUCUAUAGCUCUGGGUUCCAGGCAGCGCUUCAAACAACAGACAAGGAUCAGCUACGCGCAAGAAAACACAUGCCGGCAAAAUAAUCUGAUCUUAGCUAGACAGAACGGAGUUCACAACACCAUAAAAAACUGGCCACAAUUCAUGUCUUAAUGUUCUCAACUCUGAGGCCACAACGCCCGCAUAAACAUCAACGCCGCACAACAAAACCAUCUCCGUCGUCUGCCAAGACCGACGGCGCUUCCGGUUUCCCGGAACGAACCACCCGUCGGACCAACACGAAGAGGACUAAAGGCGUUGAACCAAGCAAACAUUGUUCCAUCAUACGAUCCACCCACCUAAGUACUUACACAACUUCAUUUUACACAGCAAAGGAAUCUACGCUUUGCUCUCACUAAGCUAG
rnacentral:lncRNA from 1 species